GGGGAUGUAGCUCAGUGGUAGAGCGCAUGCUUUGCAUGUAUGAGGUCCAGGGUUCGAUCCCUGCAUCUCCA
rnacentral:tRNA from 1 species